rnacentral:lncRNA from 1 species
UAUAUAUAUAUGUGUGUUGAUCGAUUUGGUUGAUGAUUUGAUAAUAUAUAUGAAGUUGUUGUUAAUUAUAAGUAGCUAAUAGAUAUAUAUAUAUAUAUGUUAAUUAAUUUAUAAUAUUGUGUUGAUGGUAUGAAGUUGUUGAUGAUGAUUUUGUGAUGAUGUUGAUAUAUAUAAUAUUGUUAUAUAUGUAAUUAUUAAUUAAGUAUAUCUAUAUAUAUAUGUGUGUUAAUUAAUUUGUUAUCAAUUAGUUGUAAUACGUAGAAUAUAUAUAAAUGAAUUGAAAUUUUAUAUAUGGCAUAGAAUUUAAUUAAUAAUUAGCUAGCGUUAUACAUAUAUAUUUUGUUAUAUUUUCAGGAUAUGGAUAAGAGUUGGAUUUCGCUUCCAAAAUGGGAUAAAAGAUACGGUGUAGGAGUUAUGAGUUUUAUAGAAUAUGCGCUGGCUAAUGCUAACGGGAAUACAAUUUUCUAUUGCCCGUGCACGAAAUGUCAGUGUCGCAGCGAUAUGCAUCGAUUUCCCAUUGACAAAGUAUGGCAGCACCUGAGGAGUAACGGGUUUUGGGAGAAGUACACAUGUUGGUUAUAUCACGGUGAAACAUCAUCAGGGGGUCCGCAUGAUCAUGGCCAAUUUUCUGAGACGGGCAGUACAUCCAACGAUCCAACAACGGCAUUCAUCAACGACAUGUUUCCUAAUGAGAGCGGUGU